rnacentral:rRNA from 1 species
GAGUUUGAUCCUGGCUCAGGAUGAACGCUGGCGGCGUGCUUAACACAUGCAAGUCGAACGAAGCGCUUGAGAACAAUUCUUCGGAGGCGUUCUCUUGUGACUGAGUGGGGGACGGGUGAGUAACGCGUGGGUAACCUGCCCUAUACAGGGGGAUAACAGUUAGAAAUGACUGCUAAUACCGCAUAAGCGCACAGGACCGCAUGGUUCGGUGUGAAAAACUGAGGUGGUAUAGGAUGGACCCGCGUCUGAUUAGCUUGUUGGUGGGGUAACGGCUCACCAAGGCGACGAUCAGUAGCCGGCCUGAGAGGUUGAACGGCCACAUUGGGACUGAGACACGGCCCAGACUCCUACGGGAGGCAGCAGUGAGGGAUAUUGGUCAAUGGGGGAAACCCUGAACCAGCAACGCCGCGUGAGGGAAGACGGUUUUCGGAUUGUAAACCUCUGUCCUCUGUGAAGAUGAUGACGGUAGCAGAGGAGGAAGCUCCGGCUAACUACGUGCCAGCAGCCGCGGUAAUACGUAGGUGGCAAGCGUUGUCCGGAUUUACUGGGUGUAAAGGGUGCGUAGGCGGCUUUGCAAGUCAGAAGUGAAAUCUAUGGGCUUAACCCAUAAACUGCUUUUGAAACUGCAGGGCUUGAGUGAAGUAGAGGUAGGCGGAAUUCCCGGUGUAGCGGUGAAAUGCGUAGAGAUCGGGAGGAACACCAGUGGCGAAGGCGGCCUACUGGGCUUUAACUGACGCUGAGGCACGAAAGCGUGGGUAGCAAACAGGAUUAGAUACCCUGGUAGUCCACGCUGUAAACGAUGAUUACUAGGUGUGGGUGGACUGACCCCAUCCGUGCCGGAGUUAACACAAUAAGUAAUCCACCUGGGGAGUACGGCCGCAAGGCUGAAACUCAAAGGAAUUGACGGGGGCCCGCACAAGCAGUGGAGUAUGUGGAUUAAUUCGAUGCAACGCGAAGAACCUUACCAGGUCUUGACAUCCCGCUAACGAGGCAGAGAUGCGUUAGGUGCCCUUCGGGGAAAGCGGAGACAGGUGGUGCAUGGUUGUCGUCAGCUCGUGUCGUGAGAUGUUGGGUUAAGUCCCGCAACGAGCGCAACCCUUAUCUUUAGUAGCCAGCAUUUGAGGUGGGCACUCUAGAGAGACUGCCAGGGACAACCUGGAGGAAGGUGGGGAUGACGUCAAAUCAUCAUGCCCCUUAUGACCAGGGCUACACACGUGCUACAAUGGCGUAAACAAAGGGAAGCAAGCAUGUGAAUGUGAGCAAAUCCCAAAAAUAACGUCUCAGUUCGGAUUGUAGUCUGCAACUCGACUACAUGAAGCUGGAAUCGCUAGUAAUCGCGAAUCAGAAUGUCGCGGUGAAUACGUUUCCGGGUCUUGCACACACCGCCCGUCA